AAUGCUUGAGCCUUUUUGCUCUUUGGUUUAUCUUUAAGAUGCUCAAAUAUGGUGUAAAACAGGACAUGAUUUCCUUAUUUUGCUGUUAUAGCAAGGUUUGUAAGAGUUCCCAUACCAGCUUCAUCAUUGUAAUCAAAGUUUCAUUCUUUGCAUCAUAUUCUGCUGAGUCAAAAUUGCCUGGCCUGGUAAAAGUUACAACAUCUGUAAACAACGGUAACGAUACAGAAAUGGUGUUAAUCAGGUGUGAAACCUCUGCUGCACCUCCAGAGUGCUACAGGUGCUUUGAGCACACACAUCCUGCACACAAAUAACCUCCCCGCAUCACGCCUGUGUCCAAAAUGCAAAGUCCACUGCUUUGGCAGUGAGGCUUUAUGGUAUUGUGCCCAAUCUCUAAGUAGAUGCAAAAUCACGGACAGCAUUAUAUCCUGUUAACUCAUUUUGAAUAUAUUAUUAAGUGUUUAUUGGUACCAAAAGGGCGUAAUUAAAUAGCAUGCCAACUGCAGAUGAAGACUGUAUUGCUGAUAGCUCAUGGCACAGGAGAUGAGUGAAUUUUAUUAAUUUCAUCAUUUCCAAUCCUCAGCAUUAUAAAGAACUCAGACAUUUCCUAUUACAGCUGCAGAUCUACCUUAAUGUCACUAAAGCAAUCAUAGGUAUAAACUGAAAAAUAAUUAAAGGCCUGGUGACAACUUGAUAACACUGGAUAAUUAAAGUGUUGGUAACAAAAUCUGAAUUUUAAUUUUUCUCACUAUACCUGAUACUAGAAAAUGAGAUGGAAAACAUCCUCACUAUAGGAAAGCUCACCCACGAAUAUUUAAGGAGCAGGUGCCAGAGCUGAGCACUGAUUUUCCUGAAACAUUUGGUGCUGGUCCUGCCAUGAUCUGUCACACCUGCCUGGGCUCUACGCCACCUCCCAGUUCAGUGGUCAUGCCCCUGCUGGGGGAAUCAGCUCAAAAACUGCUUGGGGAAAAGGAAAUGAGAUUUUGAGGCUGGGUGGGAGAGCAAGGACAUGUGGAGGGGGCCAGGACAUCAUGGCGUGUUGUUGUGUCGGUGCCCACAAAGGCAAAUUUGCCUCUACUAAGUAUAUAUAUUAAUAGUUUGACAUUGCUUCAAAGACGUGUUUAAACAACAUUGCUGAAGUCUCUAAGCUGUACCAUGAGUACAAAGAGCACCAGAGAGUGAGCACCGAAGACCAUUUUGGCUCUGGUUGCAUCCUUAGUGCUAGGACUGGCAGUGAGUGCCUCUUCAACUCUGUUAUCUCUUCUACUUCUGAUCCUUUCUAGGUUAUCUUAUUAUCCUCUGUAUCCUUGCCACCUCAUUCGGAAGCUCUUUAAACCAGUCUAUUCAGUCUUUACUUGAGAUUCCAGUGAAAAUCAAAUUGUAAGUAGAAAACAAGCAAGAGUUUUGGUAGGACUGGGACACAGGUGAUGUCUGGGGAAUGGAUAUCUGCCUGCCUUCCCAAAGAGCAGUAAAUCUUGAGAUGAAAUAAAGCACAAAUACCCCAGAAAACACAGAUUCUGCUCCCAGAAACCAAUAAUCCCAGGUAGCAAAAGGGGAGCUGUCAGGAGGCAGGGAGGAAAAGGAAAAGUAUUUUGCUGGGGGCUUGCAGCUCCUGUGCUGCAGGGAUAUUCUCCAUGAAGCCUACUCCCACAAUUACAAGUUUCUCAGCCAUUUCUGUAAUUCACACAGUCUCUCCCUGCUGGAGCCGCAGGUAGCUCCAUACAGGACUCACCUGCGGCACCCAAGGGACGGGCUAGGGGUGGCAUGGGGUAGUGGGGAGCCCCAAAAAAGCAGCAGCACUUCUUUUUCUUUUUAAUGAAACCCAGCAAUCAAUUUUUAGCAGCUCAUGGAGAAGCGAUUUGAAAUACAAAGCAGUUUCCUCUCCUUCUGCCCCCCAGUUCUGAAAUCGUGGCUUGCUCUGAACUGAUGGCUUUAUCUGCGUGCUUUAGGCACAGUGGGUAAGAAGGACAGUUCGUCACUUAAAUAUGUGAAUGCUUCUCCCAGUCUUCUAGAUUUAUCAUUCUGAUACAAGAUUAUUUUGCUUUUAGGGUACUUACCAAAGCCUUUUCUCUCAGACUCCCUGUCGGAGCUGAUUUUUCAGCCCGAGGCACUCUGACUCCCCUUCCCCUUCCCCUACUCACCAGCUGCCGAAAGCUUUCACGAAAUUGCCUUUAAAUGAACCUGUGCCUGGACUUCUUUCAAAGCAUCCGGGUGGUUCCUGAGGUCUCUUCCAACGCGAGCUUUUCUAUGGUCCCAGGAUUCUACGAGUCAUCUUUAGGGUGCCCCAUCAUAUCCCACUGGCUGGAAAUUUACCAUUAAAAACAUGCUAGGAGAGCUUUUUCCCAUUCACCUGACUCUGGGAGCUGGGAAUUAACGAGAGCUCCAACAUCCCAAUGCUGGGUGCUCGGUGCAGCAGCCCAAGGCCAGGGCUGGUGCAUGUAGGGGCCCUCGUGCACUGCGUGUCCCCGUAUCCCAAAUGUGCCCUACAGACCAGGGCUGACUCUGCCUGUGCCGCUGCCAAACCAGUCUUUCUGACCAUGUUUCUUUUCUUAUUCAUAGGGCAAACGCCAGUCUCACAGGAGGAGGAAAAAAUUGCCUGGAGAUUUGACUGCUGAGCCUGAGGAAAAUCUCCUGACUUUUCUUCCAUGCCUAUAAAAGAAGGCUAAUCCGCAAACUGAAAGCCAAGUCCUCUGCCCUUCCCGGUGCUGAGCCGUGACGCAGAGAAAAAUACUCUGCCAGCAGUAAGCACGUCGGAGCUGGUGCCUGAGCCCUGCUUUACACAGGAUGGGAAGGCAGCAAGUGAUGUGUUUCCAAAUGACCUCUGUCAGUGAAGAAAAAAAAGCAAAAAGUGAAAAAGAAAAAAGCAAAGCCCACAGCAGCCCCUGUUACUGGGAAAGGCCGCCUCAAGCACUGCCAAGGAAGAGCCGAGGGGAAGAGGAAGAGCAGAAAAGUGUCCUUGCACCACCAUCUAGUGGCUGCAGGUCGCUCUUGUUCGCCAAAAUAAAUCCAUGAGACCUUUCAUGAGGACAUUUUCUCCCCUGCUUCUUAAUGCCUUGCAACCUGCCAAACGAUGCAGCACAUUGCUGUACCUGUAUCAGAAAUGCUGGGCUGAGACACAGCUCCCAGAUGCGUUGUAUUUCAGUGAUACAGCAAUAAAAGCUCCAACUUCCCAUAAAUGU